AUGUAACCGCCAUUGGGGUAGGAAGCCUGGAAACCUCUCCGGAGCAAUUUUCAAUUGGAAAGGAAGAGCUACACAACAUGCCCUGAAGGAGCUGCUCCAGUUAGUCAGCUGGAAGUCCACAUCUGCAAUUUUAACAAGUUCUCCAGCAGGGAAAGUUACAAAGGACAUUAGUCCUCACUUAAAGAUACAAUAUUCUACAGCUCAAGUGCAGCUCUAAUGUCCGUAUUCCCAGUUUGGAGUAAUGGAGAAAAGUCCUUGUAAUUUUGGAAUCAAAAGAAAAGACUACUGUCAGAAGCUACAUGGGAGGAAAGUUAUAUGUGCAAAAGGCUCUUCUCCAUUUUUUUCAUGUUCUGGGAAGUUCCCACAUGCACACACAUGUGCAUGGAAUUAGAUCUCAUCCAAAAAAAGUAUGUGCAAGUGAAUAUGCUAUUCUUCUCAGUGCAUUUAAAGAAAACUCCAUACUUCUAUACUUCUCCCCAACGUCAUUAGUGUCCCAUAAUGAUUAUCAGAAAACACUAAGCAUGUUUUCAAGUUGAAAGAACUGCUAUGAGCCAUCCACAGAUGACUGACACUUGCUGGUAUGGAUCACUCAUUACCCGUGAAGCAUUUAGUAGAGGCACUUUAAGAUGAUAGAAAAACAGUUCCUCUAUAAAAUACAUUGUCAUAAUUCAUUGCAAUUAAUUUUAUUCAACUGUUCUCAUUGAUCAAGAAGUAAAGUAUUACUUUAAAACUU